rnacentral:rRNA from 1 species
UAGCGUAGGGGGCGAGCGUUAUUCGGAAUUAUUGGGCGUAAAGAGCUCGUAGGCGGUCUGUCACGUCGGCUGUGAAAACCCGGGGCUCAACCCCGGGCCUGCAGUCGAUACGGGCAGACUAGAGUGCGGUAGGGGAGACUGGAAUUCCUGGUGUAGCGGUGAAAUGCGCAGAUAUCAGGAGGAACACCGGUGGCGAAGGCGGGUCUCUGGGCUGACACUGACGCUCAUGCACGAAAGCGUGGGGAGCAAACAGG